UUUUUUCAUGUUUACCCAAACUAGUACGGUUAUCAAACUCGUUAAAUACAGAUUUUUGCCCGUAAAAUUAUCACCAAGUGUCCGAACAGUGUAGCACCUGUAUGUAAUACUACACGUAUUCGAAGCAUUAUAAUAGUUGAAAGGUGAGUUUUUUUUUUUUUGUUUUUUACAAUAUUAUUCACGACUCUCCGGUGUUUUAUAAGUUUUCCACGGACCGCGUGAUUGAAAUUUUCACUCACGGAGAUGGCGGCAAUUGUUCGAAAACACAAAAACCGGACCCGGAGUACAUUAUUUUUUUAAUCAUUCAAACGGCGAAUCGACGACAUUAAACAAUAUAAAUUAAAUAAUAAUAAUGAAAAGAAAAAUCGUCUUCUGAACAUAUAGUUUCGUCGUUGUUGACGGCGCAAGACGUGACCGUAUUAAUGAUAGUUACGUAAAGCUACAUAAUUGCAGUCUGAUAUUAUAUGCGAAUUGCGAAUCGAGAAGAAAACGUUAAUUGUCUACACCGUGGAUAUUGGCAGAUUUCCAUUCAUCGCGCAUAUACCUACCUAAACCGCUGCGGCAAUAAGAAAUGCCAUGACAGUCUUGUUUUUUUAUAAUGUAAUCGUACGCGUUUAGGUAUCUACACACACAAUUUACAAAUUAAAAAUCGGGACGGCAAAAAUAUUAAGUGUAUGAGUACCACCUACUCUCGUCUUUAGAAUAUUUUCUAAUGUAGCGUAGUAAUACAAACUAUGUAACACAUUAUACAUUAUCGCAUUGCCUAUUGGUUCAAAGCUAGGAAGUAACGAGUCGUAAAUCUCGUAAAUUUACUAAAAAUUAACUACAAUAUAACUGAAAAUCACUAACUUGUUAUUUGACGCUUACUAUUUCCCUCUAUUGAUUUUGUAACUUAUCGAAUAACGGUAAAACUUACUUCGUUACAAUAUUUACAAUUACACUUUAAAAACUCAUUAAGUAAUUUGAAUUUUAAUGGCU